GAUGAACGCUGGCGGUAUGCUUAACACAUGCAAGUCGUACGAAGAUCUUUGAUCUUAGUGGCGGACGGGUGAGUAACACGUGAGAAUCUACCCUUAGGAAGAGGAUAACAGCUGGAAACGGUUGCUAAUACUCUAUAUGCCGAGAGGUAAAAGGAUCUAUCCACCUUAGGAAGAGCUCGCGUCUGAUUAGCUUGUUGGGGAGGUAAUGGCUCACCAAGGCGACGAUCAGUAGCUGGUUUGAGAGGACGACCAGCCACACUGGGACUGAGACACGGCCCAGACUCCUACGGGAGGCAGCAGUGGGGAAUUUUCCGCAAUGGGCGAAAGCCUGACGGAGCAAUACCGCGUGAGGGAUGAAAGCCUGUGGGUUGUAAACCUCUUUUCUCAAGGAAGAAAUUUUGACGGUACUUGAGGAAUAAGCAUCGGCUAACUCUGUG
rnacentral:rRNA from 1 species